GCCUUUUGAGGGUCACUUUUCGUGUUUGCGCAAUGCGGUAUUGGUGGUGUUUUGUAGACAAGUAGGGUCCCUUCCGCGAUGUUUUUCUUUCGUAUUUGACGUUGAAGACUGUAACCUAGUGCUCUUUUGUUUGUAGCUUUGCGUGUAACAUUACCGGGACGUUUGGAAUGAGUUUCUAUUUUAUCUGAAUUGGUAACGCUUGGUUGUCCCCCACUCUCCUUUUCCAUUCCUCCUACGGUUACAUACAGCACAGAAAGGAAGCUUACAGCAGAUAGCAAACCUCGUCAUCGUUGAAGAACAAACUGCUUAAGCACCAAGGAACUGUGAUCGCAUCACUCAUAAACACCUCGAAGAAUCGCGAUAUGCAACAACACUUGAAAGCCACUCGGAAGGUGUGCCGGCGUUACGCUAAGUGGCUGGAUUAAAAGAGGCGAUGACUGACCAUGUCCUAUAAUGAACUGGAACAAGGGUACUUGGGCCUGACCAGUCAACCAUUAUUUUAUAUCGGCGAUGAUGGCUGUUACUUUAACAGAAGCAAGAUCGAAAAGCUGAGCGUGCAAGCUGGGAGCAUACCAGACAGACACAUCUUCGCUGUUAUGUGACGCCGGGAGUGCAGACGCCGGAAACGAGAGCCCCUUCGAGAGCGUUUUGAGGAAACGGGCAGGCAGAGUGACUGCACGUAGCUUUGCCGUCAAGUGUGCUGCUGCGAGUGCCUGGCCCCUCUCCAAGCCCCUGCAAUGUCUUAUUAUGGCUUUCCCCUGAACCUCUCCUCCAAUGUGUCCAUUUUCCAUCCGUGGAACAGACCUGCAGUGGAUAUUGCAGCUUAUUGGAGGGCAUUGAGAUGUGUAUGUAUGCAUUCUGUUUUCGUUUGGCUUUCAAACCGCCUGGGUUCUCCUCAGCUUCUGUUUGUGUGACUGCUGCUUUUUUCGCUGCCCGUCUCAUUGUAACUGGGAACAUGAAAAAAAAAUGCAGUUCAGUAAACUAACGACCGACGUGUUACCAUUUUUUUUUGUGAGUUCUUACAACACGUAGGUCUGUUUGUUUUUUAUUGCAUUGUUGGAGCAUGCAUUUGUUGGUUGAUGUCCAGGCCAAAGGUAAUGUCGUGUUCAUUUUUGUUUGAAUUAUUUAUUUUUAUUUUUGUGCUAUGAAUGAGGUUUAGCCACAUGUGAUGGGGGAACUUGAGACAGACUGCAGAUGAAAAGGUUUAACGCAACAUUGGGGUCAUUUUAUACCGCCGGACGGUCUUUAUUUUAUGUAGGUGUAUCGCCAAAUGGGGCUCAAUGCUUUUUUUCUUUCGUGGUUAUCAGUGGCCUCCCUUAAUUAUUUAAACAUGCGCCCCCAUUUUACUGAAAUCAUUUUGUUAUCAAACUCGACCCCUAACUGUUGCCUGGAUUUUCUAAACGCAAUCAGUUCUUUGCUAUAUGCCUUGCUGCCAGAUGCCCUCCUUUUGUCUAGUGCCAAAUAGGGACAAAAAAAAAAAGGAAAUCAAUUGAAUCAUCUUUUUCUUUUUUUUGUAAACAAGCAGCUUCAUUUUGUGGUUCCAAAACUUGCAUGCAGCCCUGUGUUCUGCCUUUUUCUUAAGAAGAGGCAUUUUGUUCUGCUUUUUGUUGUUUGUGACCCGUUGAAGACAACCUCUGCUAAGCUUUCUGUGACGAACGAAACUUGUUUCCUUGCAGAUGCUUUAAACUUCCAAUUAUUUCCUCCUCUCUACUUGCCCUUCACAAAGUGACACUACUUGCCUUCUGAUCUGAUGGUAUAUAAACGGUCCUAAGCUUGUGCA